CAGAUUUCCAGUAUGAAGCUCCUGAUUUUACUUUUUCUCAUUGGUCUGACAGCUAGUGGUGACAUUGUCAUGAAGGGUAUACCCUGUCAUCUGUUUUUUGUUGGAUCCAUAUGCUCUAGCCUCUGUCUUCAAGAAGGACUUGUUAUAGCCCCCUGCAAUCACACCAAUAUUUGUCGCUGCAUUGAAAAACCGACUACAUAAGGCGAUGACAUAAUAACUGGUGUAUUCAGUGCAUAGUUCCAACACAAUAAAAUGAUAAACAUC